UUGCUUAAACAUUGUAAAAUUUAGUAUGUCAUUGUUGUUAUGUUAAAGUAUAUAACUCGUAAAACAAUUUGAACAAAAUAAUAAAACAGAGGCUUUCCAUUAAUUUAAGAAUAACUAAGAAGUUCGACAAAGAGAUCUAUCUCCCAUAAUUCAAAACGCUUGAAAAAGAUAAUUGCAAUAUAGUAAAGAAAAACAACAGAUAAAAACAAAAGCCUCUGUAAAAUGUCUUGCAAUCCCUAAUUUCCUUCAGCUACUUUUGUCAGGUUUCUCCUUUUUGAUCUGAGUUGAACACAGAUUCCUUCUCACCAAAUUCUCGUCAUAGUGUUCCUCCAAGUUAAAAACGGUUAUUCCUCGGCAUUUAGCAGGAGUCAAUGCGUUAGCUUAACCUUCCUGGGACGACCCUCCAGACAACAUUAAUGAACCCUGUAAUACAUUUACAGAAUUGUACAAAAACAUACCGUAAGAAACAUUGCAAGAAUAAGAGUGUAAUGACCCACCACUCCCACCAUCUCCACUUCUUUCUCCAACCCCACCACUUCCACCUUCUUCUCCACCAUCUCCACCUUCUUCCCCACCAUCCCCAUCUUCUUUAAAGCUUGAGAAAGAGAGAGAGAGAGAGAGAGAGAAAGAGAGAGAGAAGAAGGAGAAGAAGAGAGAAAGCUCACCUGAACUCGUCGCCGGAGAAACCGUGCGCCAUGACCACGUUCAGCUUGCCACCACCGAUAAACACCCUAGACCACCAUCGUGUUCCUCUCGUCGAGACGAAGCCGUAGACACCAACCACGCCUCAAUCGGAGCCCGGACGAAGCCUCACGCGCCUCCGGAAGUUUCGCCUCUGCGCGCGCGUGAAGUACACGCGCCGCCGCCGGAAAACGUCGCCACCGCCGGACCACCGUCCCCCGCCGCCGGAAUACCGCCGUCGCCGCCGACAACCGCCGCCGGAAUACCGCCGUCGCCGCCGGUGACCGACACCGUUGACUCGUCGGCGACUCGGUCAACUCGGCCGAGUCAACUCAGUGAGUCAACUCGGUUGACUCGGUUAACCGAUCGGUUAGCCGGUUUAAAUUGAUUUCGGUUCGGUUAGGGUAAACCGGUCGGUUUAGUCAAAUCGAUUUCCGGUCAAAGUUUGACCGGGUUGACUUUGACCAGCGGGUUGACUUUUCCGAAAACUUUUACCAGUUCCGUUUUCGACCGUUCGAAAGGCGUUCUGACUCAGAAUUUCGAUCUGAUUUCAGAUAUGGAGUCUAUUUGAGCAGCUGGAGUUCAUAGACAACACUUUUAUAUUGCUAAGGUGAGACAAACAAGUAUGUGAUAUAUGGACGGACUUGGUGCUAUUUGACUUUUCUUUCGGAUUUUAUUUGGGCAUGGGUGAGAGUUGUCGGGUUUAUGGGCUUUUAUAUUACGGGAUAUUGUUGGUGGCCCGUCGUCCUUAGUGUCAGGGAGACGGGUGUCACAUUGUUGUAUGAUGACGCGUCGGGGGUGACACGCUGUCCUCCAUAUAGGAGGUGACGGGUGUCACAAUUUGGUAUCAGAGCGGGUUCCAUCCCGGUUCCGUCACGGGAUGGCGGUCAGGGGAUUCGGUUUUCAUCGGUUUUCAAAGUUCUUUUUGUUUUAAAAAAAAUAUAUAUUUAUUUAUAUAUUUGGAAAUUCUUUUAGCACCAUUAUGUCCAGUAAUUACUAACUCAAUUGUCUCUUUCAAUGACGAUGAGUAAAAAUCAUCGUCAUUCGUCCUUCGACUAACAAGGUUCUCGACAGAUGUUCAACAGUUGCGUGAAGUCCAAGUUCGUCAGUUUUCUCGGGAGUUAUCAGUUCUUCGGUCAUGAUUUCGAGGCUAUCCAGGAGUGGAUAUGUGACGUUUCUGCCACCAGCCCACUUCAAGCAAUCGUUCCACGAGUUUUGUUACUGGAGACUAUGUGGUGUGUGGUAUGAGCCAUUGGUUGGCAUGUGUUGUUGUGUGUACGAGUAUAUUGACUAUUUUGGAGAUAUAUUUGUUUUGUGAACUCGUGGAGAUCGCUUUUGAAUUGGGGUGCAGCAGCUUGCGUUGUGUGGGUGUUGGAGUUACACUUUGGUAUGUUUACCAAUUUUGGCAGUGUUGAUCGUUUCAGAAAUGUGUCAGUUUGGACAACUGACAUAGGACAUUGGGAGCUAUUUAUAUCCAUCGCAGUGUACCAGUUAUGCUUGGAGGGCCGAUUUGUUCGGAUAUUCAUCAGAGAUGGAGCUACGUUUUUACGAUGUUAUCCUUGGGAUGGAUUGACUGUCACGGCAUCAAGUAGUGUUGGAUUGCCUGAGGGCAAGAGUUUCGAUUGCUGGAGCAGAUGGAAGUUGUUAGUGCAUGCAUGCUACAUACUGAGGAGUUAUGGGAUAUAAGAACAGAGAGAUUUUUGGCUACCAUUUCAAUGGUUAAGGAUGAUGGACAGCAUGGGCUGCAGGAUCUUCCGGUUAUUGCAGAGUAUGAGGAUAUAUUUGUGACCUUUGGAAAGGCCACCACAAGACACAUGAGACGCUCUUGCAAUUUUAUUUUAUUUUGGAGCAAACAGCACUGGUUUCACGAGUUUCUUAUCGUCUAUCACCAGCAUGGAUGACUGAGUUGAGAAAGCGAUUGGAGGAACUCUUUGAUAAGGGAUUUAUCAGAUCGAGUUCUUCCCCAUGGGGAGCAUCAUUGUUGUUGUAAAUAAGAAAGGUGGGAGUUUCAGAUUUUAUAUUGACUACAUAAACUUGAACAUGGUAACCAUCGUAUUGACGAGUUGUUAGAAGAGCUUAAUGGAGGUUCAUCGUUCUCGAAGUUUGUCUUGGCAUCAAAGAAACCAUCAGAUUGCUAUAGCUGAGGAGUAUGUACGGAAUGCAGAUUUCCGUUAUGGAUAUUACGAGUUCGUAGUGAUACCAUUUGGGUCGACAAAGGCACUGUUGCAUUCAUGAAGAUAUGAAUGACGUUUUCGUGAACAUUUGGAUAGGUGUGCGAUUGUAUUCACCAACGACAUCCUGAUUAUUUUGGAAUAGAAAGGAGAUUUGUGAGCAUUUAGCGGAUUGCGUUGGAUAAGCCUGGAGAGCAUCAGUUGUUCGCUAAGUUGAGGAAGUGUAGCUUCUGGCAGAGGAAUGUUGUAUUUUUGGGUAACAUGGUUUUGGAAGCAGAAUUUUGAUGGAUCCAAAGAAGAUUAAUACCGUUUCGGGAAGGUCGGAACCUAAGAGCGCUACAAAGAUCAGCCGUUCUUUUUGGGUUGAUAGUUUACUACUGGAAGUUCAUCAAGGGUUUCAUCGUAAUAGUAAUGUUAAAGACGCGGUCUACAUGUAAAGACGUUAAGUGUGGUUGGAUAGAUUUUUGUUCGAGGAGUUUCACUGAAUUGAAGCACAACUAAUGAAGACACCAGUUUUGGGUUCUACUGAGGCUGAGGCUUACUGUGAUGUGUCAGAUACUGGAUUGGAUUUAAAUUGAGGUAUGAGGAUUAAGUCAUUCAUAUGCAUCACGCCAGAGAGGCUGUAGUGGUAUUUGCGUUAUAGUUUUGGAGAUCGUGAUUGUACGGGAAGGAAGUCCAGAUUCUAUGGGAUCAUUAGAGUAUGAUAUUUAUCUUCACUGAUUAAAAAUUGCACUUGGGCAGUGCAGUUGGAUUGAGUUUGUAGCAGACUAUAGUUUGGAUAUCGCAUACUACCUGAUAAGGACAACCAGGUGAUAAAUGCCUUGGGUAGGCGUAUGAGCUGUAUCUCAGGAACCAAGAAGGUUCAUGAGUUGGAGAUUUGCUAGUCUCAGGUUGGGUGCCAUUACUAUCAAUGGAGAGACAGAUGUCCUUGGGACUUUGGAGCAGACAGAUUUGCUUUGGAGGAUACACAAGCACAAGUUAGCAUUCUGGAUUGGUUGAACAGAUCGAGAUUGGGAGUAUUGGAUAUCAUACAACUCUGAGCAGGAUAUACUUGUACCGAAACCGAGUUUGUGUGUUGGACGAUAAGUUGUUAAGAAAAGGAAUCUUACAACAAACAUAUCACUCGUGUUUCUCUACGCAGCGGGAACACCAAAGGGUACAAAGAUAUGAAGAGUUAACUAUAAUUGGUGUAGUAUGAAGAUGUUUGUAACUACAUUACGUCGCGGUGCCAGACAUGUUAUAUGGCAAUGACAGAGGAUCAGUUAUCUAUUAUGUUAUUUUUGAGCUUGCUUUUGCCGGAGUAGAAAUGAGGCAUGGUGAUUAUGGACAUUGUUAUUGGAUUAUAAAUCACCAUAUGUGGAAAGGAUGCCACAUGGGUAGUCAUGGAUAGACUUACCAAGUCAGCCCAUUUCCUAAGUAAUUAAGAAGACAAUCAGAGCUAAUUAAUUGGAGCAGACCUACAUUAUUGAGUUUGGGAAGUUUCAUUGAUGUCAACAUUGUAUCGGAUUGGGAAUCGAAGUUCACAUCUACAUUUCAGAGAGCCUUUCGGAAGGCACUUGGGACAAUACAUCUUAUCACCCGUUGACAUAUUGUCAGUCAGAGAGGACUACUCAGAACUUAAAGGAUAUGUUCAGAGAUUGCGUGGGAUGGAAUUUCAGAAAGCAUCUACCUAUACCAGAGUUUGCCUAUAUCGACAGCUAUCUUUUGAGUAUUAAAAAAAAAAAUUUAUUAUAUGAGGAUUAUUUAUGGUAGACCUUAUAGUAUACCACUUUGUUGGACCAAAGUGGGGGAGCAAUAUGAGUUAGAACUAUUAAUGGUUCAAGAGACAGUAGAGCAAAGGACAUACUCAAGGAUUGGCUUUCGGAAGCCCAUGACGUCAAAAGAUUUAUGCAGCUAAGCGCCGUAAGGAUUUGGAGCUACAUAUGGACACCUAAUAUACCUGAAAUUAAGGACAUUUCAGGAGGAGCCUAAGACUCAGAAGAUAUAGGAGCUUAAACCGAGACACAUGGAAUUGUAUCCUGCACUGGAGUGGAUUGGAUUAGUUGCUUGCAGUUACUUUAUCAGCAGUAUAUCAGCCUUCUAGGACUUGGUUCAUAUGACAGCAUUGCAAAAGUUGAGAAGGCGCUAUAAUUAUUUU